UUGGGAGGGCAAGUCUGGUGCCCGCAGCCGCGGUAAUUCCAGCUCCAAUAGCGUAUAUUAAAGUUGUUGCAGUUAAAAAGCUCGUAGUUGAAUUUCGGGGUUCUACCGUUGGUCGGGCAAUAGUCUGUACUGGUGUGUAGAAUUUCUACCUUCUGGGGAACCAUCAUGUUAUUUAUUUAGUGUGGUGGGAAACCAGAACCUUUACCUUGAAAAAAUUAGAGUGUUCAAAGCAGGCUUACGUCUGAAUACAUUAGCAUGGAAUAAUAAAAUAGGACGGUGGUCCUGUUUUGUUGG
rnacentral:rRNA from 1 species